GACGAACGCUGGCGGCGUGCCUAACACAUGCAAGUCGAGCGAAUGAAGUUCCUUCGGGAACGGAUUUAGCGGCGGACGGGUGAGUAACACGUGGGCAACCUACCUCAUAGAGGGGAAUAGCCUUCCGAAAGGGAGAUUAAUACCGCAUAAGAUUGUAGUACCGCAUGGUACAGCAAUUAAAGGAGCAAUCCGCUAUGAGAUGGGCCCGCGGCGCAUUAGCUAGUUGGUGAGGUAACGGCUCACCAAGGCGACGAUGCGUAGCCGACCUGAGAGGGUGAUCGGCCACACUGGGACUGAGACACGGCCCAGACUCCGUUAGGAGGCAGCAGUGAGGAAUAUUGGACAAUGAGCGAAAGCUUGAUCCAGCAAUGUCACAAAAAGGAAGACGGCUAAU
rnacentral:rRNA from 1 species